AUCUUAUUAGUAUUUAAAGUAUACAUGCCUUCCAAGCAUGAGGAUCAAUUAAUUUUGAAUAAGUUA
rnacentral:tRNA from 1 species